rnacentral:rRNA from 1 species
UAGGGAAUCUUCCGCAAUGGGCGCAAGCCUGAUCCAGCCAUGCCGCGUGAGUGAUGAAGGCCCUAGGGUUGUAAAGCUCUUUCACCGGUGAAGAUAAUGACGGUAACCGGAGAAGAAGCCCCGGCUAACUUCGUGCCAGCAGCCGCGGUAAUACGAAGGGGGCUAGCGUUGUUCGGAUUUACUGGGCGUAAAGCGCACGUAGGCGGACUUUUAAGUCAGGGGUGAAAUCCCGGGGCUCAACCCCGGAACUGCCUUUGAUACUGGAAGUCUUGAGUAUGGUAGAGGUGAGUGGAAUUCCGAGUGUAGAGGUGAAAUUCGUAGAUAUUCGGAGGAACACCAGUGGCGAAGGCGGCUCACUGGACCAUUACUGACGCUGAGGUGCGAAAGCGUGGGGAGCAAACAGG